rnacentral:lncRNA from 1 species
GUUCCUUCAGCAAGCUGUUAUUGGGCAAGGUAUUUAUAUGAUAACUUCUUGUAAUUUUUCUAUUUAUGAUAUAACUGACUGGGUAUUGGAUACCGGUAGCCCUCACAUUAUUUGCAAUUCGUUGCAGGGGUUGCAGGUCAGUAGGAUAUUCGAGCAAGGCGAGAGAUUCUUGAACGUUGGAGAUGGAAGACCAGUUCCAGC